rnacentral:rRNA from 1 species
CCUACGGGUGGCAGCAGUGAGGAAUAUUGGUCAAUGGGCGCGAGCCUGAACCAGCCAAGCAGCGUGAAGGAUGAAUGCCCUACGUGUUGUAAACUUCUUUUAUAAAGGAACAAAGUGAGGCACUAGUGCCCUUUUGUAUGUACUUUAUGAAUAAGGAUCGGCUAACUCCGUGCCAGCAGCCGCGGUAAUACGGAGGAUCAGAGCGUUAUCCGGAUUUAUUGGGUUUAAAGGGAGCGUAGAUGGGUUGUUAAGUCAGUUGUGAAAGUUUGCGGCUCAACCGUCAAAUUGCUAUUGAUACUGGCAGUCUUGAGUACAGUUGAGGUAGGCGGAAUUCGUGGUGUAGCGGUGAAAUGCUUAGAUAUCACGAAGAACCCCGAUUGCGAAGGCAGCUUACUAAACUGUGACUGACAUUGAUGCUCGAAAGUGUGGGUAUCAAACAGGAUUAGAUACCCUAGUAGUC